rnacentral:lncRNA from 1 species
UUUUAUUACAGUUACAGAAUCACCGAGACAUAGAAAAUACAUCAUAAAUUCUUCUCUACAUUUUUUUUCUUUUCUUUUCUUUCUUUUUCUUUCCAUUAAUUUUGUUCCCCACUUUUCCCUACGACAGCACCAUCCAAUCCACCAAACUUCCCACCACUCAUUGCUCCCCAUCAUCUUCAAUUCUUUAAGGCUAUUAAUUCCUUCAAGCACCAAAGGGAGGAGAAUUCAUUCAGCUAUUGCUCUGCCAACUUGAAGAGUCCCCAUCAUCUGCAUUCAUUUAACACCACAGCAUCCAACCAACAAGCAAUUACAGGUAUAUACUAAGAUCCCUUCAUUCGAAUCUCAUUUGCAUUUCAUCCAAUCAAGCAUUCAUGUCAACAUGUUCAAGCUAUGGCAUUUCAACUAUGUUAUGAUUUACUCAUUGUUACUUUACGCUCUAGAACAACAAACCAUGAUUAUUCUGCCUUAACAACUAGAAACUAGGAUAUAAGGAAGUAGGACUUAGCUUUAGGGAACAAGGACGCAGCCUGUUCGAUCGAGCCAAGAAGCGAUGAUCAGGCGACGGCUCAUGGGGAUCCAAGCGCCAACCGCGAUUCACGGCGAUGUGCAGAGGCACGUCGGACUCGUGCGCAGCAGUGGCG